rnacentral:rRNA from 1 species
CCAGCAGCUGCGGUAAUUCCAGCUCCAAUAGCGUAUAUUUAAGUUGCUGCAGUUAAAAAGCUCGUAGUUGGAUUUCGGGUGGGGCCUGUCGGUCCGCCGUUUCGGUGUGCACUGACCGGGCCCACCUUGGUGCCGGGGACGGGCUCCUGGGCUUCACUGUCUGGGACUCGGAGUCGGCGAGGUUACUUUGAGUAAAUUAGAGUGUUCAAAGCAGGCCUACACUCUGAAUACAUUAGCAUGGAAUAACACGAUAGGACUCUGGCCUAUCCUGUUGGUCUGUAGGACCGGAGUAAUGAUUAAGAGGGACAGUCGGGGGCAUUCGUAUUUCAUUGUCAGAGGUGAAAUUCUUGGAUUUAUGAAAGACGAACUACUGCGAAAGCAUUUGCCAAGGAUGUUUUCA